rnacentral:rRNA from 1 species
AACGUACGCUGGCGGCACGCCUAACACAUGCAAGUCGAACGCAGUAGCAAUACUGAGUGGCAGACGGGUGAGUAACAUGUGGGAAUCUGCCUUGUGGUUCAGGACAACAUUGGGAAACCGAUGAUAAAACAGGAUAAGCCCUUACGGGGAAAGUUUUAAUGCCAUAAGAUGAGCCCGCAUUUGAUUAGUUAGUUGGUGAGGUAAUGGCUCACCAAGACAAUGAUCAAUAGCUGAUCUGGGAGGAUGAUCAGCCACACUGGGACUGAGACACGGCCCAGACUCCUACGGGAGGCAGCAGUGGGGAAUCUUGCACAAUGGAGGAAACUCUGAUGCAGCGAUGCCGCGUGAGUGAAGAAGGCCUUUGGGUUGUAAAGCUCUUUUGUAGGGGAAGAUAAUGACUGUACCCUAAGAAUAAGGUCCGGCUAACUUCGUGCCAGCAGCCGCCGCCG